rnacentral:rRNA from 1 species
AUUGAACGCUGGCGGCAUGCCCUACACAUGCAAGUCGAACGGUAACGGGCCUUCGGGUGCCGACGAGUGGCGAACGGGUGAGUAAUGUAUCGGAACGUACCUUUCAGUGGGGGAUAACGUAGCGAAAGUUACGCUAAUACCGCAUAUUCUGUGAGCAGGAAAGCAGGGGAUCGCAAGACCUUGCGCUGAUUGAGCGGCCGAUAUCAGAUUAGCUAGUUGGUGAGGUAAAGGCUCACCAAGGCGACGAUCUGUAGCGGGUCUGAGAGGAUGAUCCGCCACACUGGAACUGAGACACGGUCCAGACUCCUACGGGAGGCAGCAGUGGGGAAUUUUGGACAAUGGGGGCAACCCUGAUCCAGCCAUGCCGCGUGAGUGAAGAAGGCCUUCGGGUUGUAAAGCUCUUUCGGCCGGGAAGAAAUCGUAACAGCUAAUACCUGGUGCGGAUGACGGUACCGGCAUAAGAAGCACCGGCUAACUACGUGCCAGCCGCCGCCGUAAGAC